CAGAAAACAACUCUCUCUUCUUUUUCCUCUCUCGAAGGCGACGACUAAGGUGAUUUGGUCGAUGCCUGAAGAUCGUUUUUCCGGUCGUUUUCUGCACCGCGGGACCAUCUCUUCCGUCAUCUGUGUAAGGUUAACAUGGUGGGGUACUCGAGAUAACAACUGAUGGCAUCCUAUCAUCGAGUCUUCUCAACGAGGUUUUUGUGGAGUGCUUUAUGUGGGGCAAGAAGUUUUGGAGUAUUCUGUCACGAGCUCCUCUUUUUUUGUUUACUUGUGUCACGAGUAUGUUUGUAAACUAGUGGUUAGUGAUGUUUUAAAAUAAUUGUUG